rnacentral:lncRNA from 1 species
CUAUCCUCCUACCUCAGCCUCCCAAGUAGCUGGGACUAUAGACGGAGUCUCUCUCUGUCGCCCAGGGUAGAGUGCAGUGGUGCAAUCCUGGCUCACUGCAACCUCUGCCUCCCAGGUUCAAGUGAUUCUCCUGCCUCAGCUUCCCAAGUAGCUGGGACUACAGGCGUGUGCCACCACGACCAGGAUCUUUCUGCUGAUGCAGCUGUUAAGAGUGUUUCAUAAACUGUGACAACACUAAGACUUGAAGAAGCUGAGUGAGAAGGCCAUGCAGAUAUCUUGGAGAAGUGCAUUCCAGGCAGAGGAAAAGCCAGUGCAGAGACACUGAAGCAGGGCAUGACUGAUGUGUAUAAGGAGCAUCAUAUACAUGAUCAUCUACAGUCCACUGAGGAGAAUAGCAGACGAGAGGCCAGGUGCAGUGCAUGUAAUCCCAGCACUUUGGGAGACUGAGAUGGGAAGAUCGCUUGAGGCCAGGAGUGCAAGACCAGCCUGGGCAACACAGCAAGACCUUGAUUCUACUAAAAAAAAAAAAGGAUCCUUCAACUUCAACAAUAAUAACACAAGGGAAGUGAAGAAAAACACUUUCUAAGGAAAUCUCUCUCUGAGCUACCAUCCUGCUAGGGAGAGCCUGAAAGCAGAAUGCUGACUUGACUAGCUCUGGUCAAUGAAAGAAAUCACCAGUGGAAAGGCUACCAGGGGGCUUUCUCAAAAGAGAGGGACAGU